rnacentral:tRNA from 1 species
GCGCCGGUGGUGUAAUGGCGUAGAGCAUUCCCGCCCGGUCAGAGGGAGGUGCGGGUUCGAAUCCCGCCUGGCGCU